rnacentral:pre_miRNA from 1 species
AACACGGACAAAGAGUAGAUUGACAACGACACAGGGCGCUUAUUUUCCCUGUGUCGUUGUCAAUCUACUCUUUGUCCGUGUUUUUUUGGCGC